rnacentral:rRNA from 1 species
UACGUAGGGGUGCAAGCGUUAAUCGGAAUUACUGGGCGUAAAGCGUGCGCAGGCGGUUCGCUAAGACAGAUGUGAAAUCCCCGGGCUUUAACCUGGGAACUGCAUUUGUGACUGGCGGGCUAGAGUAUGGCAGAGGGGGGGUAGAAUUCCACGUGUAGCAGUGAAAUGCGUAGAGAUGUGGAGGAAUACCGAUGGCGAAGGCAGCCCCCUGGGCCAAUACUGACGCCUCAUGCACGAAAGCGUGGGGAGCAAACAGG